AGGGGGCGACCUUGAGCGGAUCCCUCAAAGCCGGUCUCAGUUCGGAUUGCAGUCUGCAACUCGACUGCAUGAAGUUGGAAUCGCUAGUAAUCGUGGAUCAGCCAAGCCGCGGUCGAAUACGUUCCGGCCUU
rnacentral:rRNA from 1 species